rnacentral:lncRNA from 1 species
AGAUUAGAGAAAUGAAGCCUGCACAAACCCAGGGAGGUUUUCAGCAGACACGAGGGAUGGCAGCAAUCAUUCACCAGAAAGUCUCACAUAGGAGAUUUUCAUUGAUAGUGCAAACUUAAUUUGUAUAUCUAAAGAUGAAGUACCUUCCUUUUCCGGUAAAAGUCAUUUCCUUUGUCAGGGGAACGUCUUUAUUGGCCUCAGAACCUCCUAAAAGAUUCCCAUAGCUUAUCUUCCUUCCAUUUCUAAGACUAGAGAGGAAUUUCUAAGAUGAAAUAGGGAAGUUAGGUUUAGCCAUGAGCUGAAGUCACAUAAAUAAUCUGCAAAUGUACUCAUCACAAGGAAAAGACUUUAAUGGUCCUUUCAUAAUCUUUUUCAAAGGAAAAAAAAAAAAGGAUAACCCUCAGCUUUAUUCUGACAUUUUCCCUCGAUGAUGCCAAUCAAGGCAUUUAUUGGUUAGUAUAACCAGAAGACUGUACUCAUGAAUAUUUUGACAUUUAAAGAAGGAUAAUAAAGGAACAGAUAUAUAAGCUUGCCUGCCAAAGGAUAUAGUGAUAUGCUGCAUAACAGCCACCUUGGCAAUAAUGUGCUUCUCCACUAUAAGGGAGAAAAAUGAAGCGGCCCAGAGACAACAAUGAAAGAAUUUGAAAGCAUUUUCCCAGAGUUGACGCCAAGAGAGCUAUAUUCCAAAACUUGGACCCAUGCUGACUCAUUGCCUAACUGCACAUUUUCCUGGUAACCAGGCGGAUGAUGUGCUAAUGCAAAUUGGCAGACUUGGACUGAAACUCCAAAAAUUGGAUCUGCCACGUGGAAGAACAAAAGGACAAAAGAGACUUCAAGGCUUCCCUUUUGCUUUGGGUUUCCAUUUCUGUUGCAAUGGUAGACAUGAGUGUUUUGAAAACAUUGUCCCACCUGGAGAAAUCUGGAAACUGGUAAAAUGAAGGCCUGUCUGAGAAACAAAACACUGCUGCAAAGAAUCUGAUUUAGUAUCAUGACUUUGGUUCAUUUUUAAUAUAGAAUUUCAUGGCUCAUCAAGGGGUAAGCCAGUCUAUCAAAAGAAGUUGUCUUUUUUGUUCAUUUUAGAAAUGUCCCUGCUGUUACUGUGUGGCGUGUGCUUUUGAAAACUCAACACAGUUUAAACAGAAGAGGGCUGAGGCUUUGUUCUCUCUCCCCUCUUCCCGUCUAAGUUCAUUGUCUUUGCCCUACAAGUUCUUCUCACAGUUUUACCAAUUCCUUCCUGCCCAUAUGAACAAAUGUCAUAGCUUAGCAACAAUCAUCAUUUCAUAUUACAUUUAUAGUUCAGCUAAUAUGAUGGAAUGAUCUACAUGCCAGAAUCUCUUAAUUUCUUUUCCUUUCCUUUACACAGCUGCAGACUGGAACCAAAUGCUCAGUCAGAUAUCUUUCUUAUAUAACUAAUGGGAGGUGAGUGUUUUCCUGUUUCUGUUUUCUCUCUCACCCAUAUUUUCUGUCUCCCUCUGUAUUUAUAGAACCAGCUUUAAUUAUAAUUUAGCAGUGUGCUGAGGGCACAUCAGUGAGUCUCCAGAUGGUGCAAAGCAACCUGUGAGAGUACAUUGCUUUUCACAUUUGAUCUUGGAAUAGCCAAUAUGUUCCUGGCAAGCACUGACUAAGCAGUUGACCUGUCUAUUUGCCGUUAGUUUCCAUUUACUUGCUUUCUGGUAAUGAAUACUAAUAUUCCAUGAUAUGAUGGGUCCCCUAAUGUAUCUCCCUAUUUUUCCCUUUUAGAUUUUCCUUUAUGCUUCAUCCGUGGAUCAGUAGGAGGGAAUCCUUUAAUUUAAUACAUAUAUAUUAAAUUAUACAUUUAUUUCAUUAUUUUAAACGAGCUUUUCCUUCCAGCGUAUCACAGCUUCUGAAAUGAAGGUCUUAAACUUAAUGUCAAAGAGUGCUGGAUAUUUUUUUCUAAAAGCAUUUUUGAGAAUGUGAAAAGUAUAUCUAUAAAUAAAUGAAGAGAAAAGAAAGACGAGGAAGAGAAA